AGUCCUGCAUUCCUGGGAGCUUUAGAGCUGGAGCUAAACGGUUAUUUUUAAAACGAUUAAUCUGACGAUUAUUUUAUCGAAUAGUUGACUAUUCUAAUGACUAUUUAGACAAUUAAUCUAACGAUUAUUUUCUAUUGCACAGUUAAUAAAAACCAAAAAAUCUCUUAAAUUCCUCCAAAACGCUGAUAAAUUGUUACUGUAAGAGAAUAAACACUACGGGCCUUCCAUUUUGUAUAACACUGCGUUUAUUGUGUUGGUUGGUUAUGUUCUGGUGACGUGUAGAACUUGGGAGUGCAGGCUGCUGCCUGAGAGGUGGUUGGAGACGGAGUGUCUCCAUACUGCUUUGUUUUGGUCACUUAUGUGUGUGAGGCGAGUGGUGUUACGACCCUUCCUGGGGAGUUUGGCUCGGACAAUAACGGGAUUUAAAAGUUAAAAUGAUGAUCAGGUUUAUUUACAACUACAGAAAAUCAUAAAUCUUUUCAUCCACAGGUUGGGAAUAAUAAAACUAAUUCUGCCUGUGGGGAAUUAAAACAAAAGUAGAAAUAAGUAGGGAUGUCCCUCUGGGCAAAGAUUACAGGGUUCUGGACCAAAAUAAGGAUCUCCAAAGGUCCAAACUCUAAACUGGGCGGUUAAACCAAACUCAAGGUGAUAUUUUAAACUAAACCAAAAACCCACAACACUCUAAAUGUAAUAAAAGGGAGAUCUGCACCACAAAAACGAUGAACUCUAAACCAAAACGUAACAGCUGAUCCAAACGCAAGAAGCUGUUAGCGAAAAUGCUAACAGUAGCUUUACCAACGUUAAGUUCAAGUUACCAAGUUUAAAUAAACCAAAAACACCCAGCAGCAAACAGACCAGCAUGGAGGAGAGACUGCUACCACCAAAACAGCUCUCCUCAUGUCUGAAAGAAGCUCCUUUAUGAAGGGAGAAACGCUCCCGGUGAUGUUCUACAUCUGCGAUAGACACGAAGCAGCGCAUCUGACCCCGGAAGUUGUUGUCCGUUGCCGGGAGACGAAGGCGGGCAACAGGCCCGGAGUGGCUAAUCGGGAGGGUCUGGAGAAUUCCCGGUGGGCCGCGCGAUGUUUGGGCCGCAUGGGCCGGUGCUCUCGUUUUUGUUUUUUAUCAUUUUAUUUUUAUUUUUUGGUGCCGGUGUUCAGUCAUGGCACUGAGGCCGCCGGGCUGAUCUCAUACGCUCCUCCCGGCUGUCUCUACCUGCAGGCUGCAGCUCGUUUUUUUUCUUUUUGCCCAAUAUGCGCCUGUGCGCACCACGUGACCUCGCAGUUGACGGAAAGAUGGAAAGUAGAAAGAGCAAGGGUGGCGCGGAGAAGGCAAGAAUUAAAAAGAGGAAAGCGCUGGAAACAGAUGCAGCUAAAUGUGCAAAAAUGAGCACCUUUUUUUCUCAAACAAGCUCGCGGUCUUUAACUUCAAAUGAAGAUAAAACGGCCCACAAGAUCCAGUAGGCCUAAUAAGCACCAGGCAGAAACCCACCAUUCCAGAGUGGACAUGUACAGUGUCAGAAGAAGAGCCAGGAGCCAGCAGUGAGGGUAUUGCUCCUGUUGGGAUAGAAGGUGAGCCAACUCAUGUGCAAACAAGCAAACAUUAGUUUCAUUAUAAUAAUUUUAAUGUCCAAAUAAUAGUAGUGACCUGUUGUAUUUUUAUUAGUAAAUGCACAAAGCCCACAACAGAUAGUUAUUAGAAUGAAAGUAAAAUGAAAUAAGCCUGCAUAUUUUGCCAUAGAAAAUAUUUUAAUUGGUUACAAAAAAUGUGUUUUCCAUAUCAAAUGUGCCAAAGCUUUACAGAUGAUUAUUUUAAUUGUGUGCAGGUGAGUAUAGGGAAACUGGAAAAAGUGUGAAAGGGAGUGCUGAGUCAUUUCAUUUUAAAGGUUUGAAAAUCUCAGAACAGCUGUUUGAACAGAAGGUGGAUUGUUAUAUUGUUAGAGAAUGUGUUGUAAAGAACAAUGUUGGAGAUGUGCACUGAUGUUCAAAUAAACCUACAUUGUAAAGCAA